AGCAGCCGCGGUAAUUCCAGCUCCAACAGCGUAUAUUAAAGUUGUUGCAGUUAAAAAGCUCGUAGUUGAAUUGAGGGAUUGACGUGACGGUCGUGCCUUACGGGGUAUGAACUGUUGCUGUUGAUUUUUCUCACCUUCUGGAGAAACUUGAUGUCCUUAAUUGGGUGUCUUGCGGAUCCAGGACCUUUACCUUGAAAAAAUUAGAGUGUUUAAAGCAGGCAUUUUGCUCGAAUACAUUAGCAUGGAAUAAUAGAAUAGGACGGCAUGGUUCUAUUUUGCUGGUUUCUAGGAUCACCGUAAUGAUUAAUAGGGAUAGUUGGGGGCAUUAGUAUUCAAUUGUCAGAGGCGAAAUACUUGGAUUUGUUGAAGACUAAUUACUGCGAAAGCAUUUGCCAAGGAUGUUUUCAUUAAUCAAGAACGAAAGUUAGGGGAUCGAAGACGAUCAGAUACCGUCGUAGUCUUAACCAAUAAACUAUGCCGACUAGGAAUCAGACGAUGUUAAUUUUUAAUGAUUCG
rnacentral:rRNA from 1 species